AUAGUUUUGGUUUGGUAAGCUAUACGACAUUUAAUAGGUUGAAAAUGUGGCUUUGGUUCUCAAGAACUCCUAAUUUAAAUGGAUUUCAUGGGGCUUAAACAAGAUUCAAAUGAUUGAAGUUGCAGUACAAGGUCCUAUAAAAGGUUUGCUGCAAAUAUGGACUUGAUGACAUCUACAUGGAUUGAUUAUUGCUUGAAGCAUAAACAUGAAGAGUGGACUACAUGUCAUGCUGAUUUAAUCAAUUUUCAGGCUUAAAUAUAUUCUAAGAAUUACCAUAAACCUCUUGAUGAAGUUUAAGCAGCAGGACA